GACGAACGCUGGCGGCGUGCUUAACACAUGCAAGUCGAACGAUGAACCCGGAGCUUGCUCCGGCGGAUUAGUGGCGAACGGGUGAGUAACACGUGAGUAACCUGCCCUUGACUCUGGGAUAACUGCGGGAAACUGUAGCUAAUACCGGAUACGACCCUCGGCGGCAUCGCCAGGGGGUGGAAAGAAUUUCGGUCAAGGAUGGACUCGCGGCCUAUCGGCUAGUUGGUGAGGUAACGGCUCACCAAGGCGACGACGGGUAGCCGGCCUGAGGGGGUGACCGGCCGCACUGGGACUGAGACACGGCCCAGACUCCUACGGGAGGCAGCAGUGGGGAAUAUUGCACAAUGGGCGCAAGCCUGAUGCAGCAACGCCGCGUGAGGGAUGAAGGCCUUCGGGUUGUAAACCUCUUUUAGCAGGGAAGAAGCGAAAGUGACGGUACCUGCAGAAAAAGCACCGGCUAACUACGUGCCAGCCGCCGCCGUAA
rnacentral:rRNA from 1 species